CCCUUUUGAACGAUUCGAAGAGUUACUAUUAAAAUAUUUUUUAAAAAAAUUUUGAAAUAUAUUAUGAUAAUAACUUCAAAUCUGUUCAUAUAACAAAUGUAUAUACGGUGGCUUUUUAAAUUAUUUAUUUUAGAAAUGUCAAUCCAUAUAUAUCACAGCACU
rnacentral:sRNA from 1 species